rnacentral:miRNA from 1 species
GUUUGAAGUUUACGUUUGGCGUAUAAAUUUCAUGCUUGAACGACUACAAGCCCUCAUAGCAGUUCAAGUAUGAAAUUUAUACGCCAAACGUCAACUUCAAAC